rnacentral:rRNA from 1 species
AUUGAACGCUGGCGGCAGGCCUAACACAUGCAAGUCGAACGAGUGGCGGACGGGUGAGUAAUGUCUGGGAAACUGCCUGAUGGAGGGGGAUAACUACUGGAAACGGUAGCUAAUACCGCAUACACUCAGAUGUGCCCAGAUGGGAUUAGCUUGUUGGUGGGGUAACGGCUCACCAAGGCGACGCUCCCUAGCUGGUAUGAGCGGAAGACCAGCCACACUGUAAUGACGCCACGGUCCAGACUCCUACGGGGUGCAGCAGUGGGGAAGAUUGCACAGUGGGCGAACGCCUAAGGCAGCCAUGCCGCGUGUAUGAAGAAGGCCGUCGGGUUGUAAAGUACUUUCAGCGGGGAUGCGUUACCCUCAGAAGAAGCACCGGCUAACUCCGUGCCAGCAGCCACGGUAAUGC